UGGCUGAGGAUGACAAGUCCCUGCCACCUUCCCCAUCUACCUGGCUGCUGCAGGUGAGUUGGAAGGGAGCCCAGGGUGAGGCAAAGGCUCCUCGUCUCCAGUGCACACCUCUCCCCGCCACUCCCUGCCCAUCCCCGCUUCUUCCCCAACACCCCCCCCACCCCGCCAGCAGCUCCAGCAGCCAGCACACUUCCACUUGGCCCUUCCCUCUACCCAUCUCUCUGUGUUUCUUUAGGCAUCAGACGGCUCCGAGCCUCACUCUCCCCAGCUGCAGAACGGGGUGAUUUCGGCUUCUCCCACGGGGCUGCUGUGGGGCUCCAGUUAGACCACCACCACCGUGCCCGGCCAUGUGACUCAUAGCGCCGUCUGAAGGAUUCUUCAUCCUGGGCGACUCGGAAUCACCAUGCCUCCUGGGUUUGCUCUUCUUGCUACAAAAGGCUCCCCAGGCCUUCGCCCCAGCUCUGGAGACGCUCCUCAGCCUGGUUCAUUUGGAGCGAGCCCGGCCCCUCUGUGUUGGGAAACAGGGGUCCCUUCCAGCCUCCGGCCCUGGGCAGAGGGAGGAGGAGGCCUCGGGAUGCAGAGGCAGGAGGGCGUGGAUUAGAAACCCAUCACAGAAAUGACUUUCUUAUCACGCUACGACCUGAAUUGACAGAACCAACUCUCGAAAUUGAAUUGUCUCCCCCCUCGGCUGCCUCAGCUCCUAGUUCCUUCCCCACUGCCACCUCCACCUCUGAAAGCCCUGCUGGGAGAGACCAAGAGACAGAGAUGCAGGAGAGAAGCAAAGAUGACUCAACUGAGGCACAGAGGCGUUCAGGAACCUACUCAGCAUCUGGACAGUACCCACGAUGAACAUUCCAGGUUUGUCACAUGCGGGGAGUCCCAAUGGUAAAAGCCCGUCUACACCCAAAUCAACCUGGGGUGGGGGUGGGAGGUGGAACCUGUGCCCAUUUUGCAGGUGGGGAAACGGAGGCCUAGCCCACAGAUGCCUUUAGCUUUAGGAUUAGAAUUAAGGCACUCCCAGGAUUCGGGGCUGGCGUUUUCAGAUGGUGUCCUGGGUGCCAGUGUCUAAGUCUGAGAUGGGGCAGUAGGCCAUGCACCCAACACUCGCCUUCCUCUGUCCUCCCUGCACGCCCCCCUUCCCUGGACUUGGUUCUCAAUCCCAGUACCCUCUAGGCCUGCGGAGGCCCUUUGUCCCACACGAAGGUUGAGCUGGAGAGAGGGACUCACCUGAGAGCAGGUGCAUUCCCAGAUAACCCCCAGAUGCAAAUCGCAGGCCUCUGCAGGUCCAGAGUGGAAGGUGCAGAAGUGAGAGGGCCGAGCUCCACCGGUUCGUGAUCCCUAGUGACCCUGGAACGAGGUUCUUUACCUGAGUUACCUCAUCUCUUCUUCUGGACAGCCCAUAAGCCAGCGCAGCUCCCGUGCCCACUUUGCAGACUGAGAAACCCAGUCUCUUGUGCAGCCCUUCAUGCAGAGUCUUAAUGAGGACCUGGUUGAGCUGGGAUUCAAACCCAAGUUAGUCUGGAGUUCCCGCUGUGGCGUAGCGGGUUAAGAAUCUGAUGGCAGUGGCUCGGGUCACGGUGGGGGCGCGGGUUCAUUUCCCGACCCCUUAACAGUGGGUUAAAGGGAUCCAGCAUCGCUGCAGCUGCGGCUUGGAUUCAGUCGCUGGCCCAAGAACCUCCAUGUGCCAAGGAUGCGGCCAUAAAAAACCAAAACAGAACAAACCCCCCAUGUCUGUCUGAAUCCAGAAUCCGAGCUCUUAACAGCGCGCUCCUCCUUGCAGGGGCAGAAGUCAGGAAGUCCCUGCCACAGAGGCCCUGGAAGCAGGGCCUAGAGUGCGACGCCAGUGGACAAAGCCUGGGCUGGGGACCAGGUGACCUGGGUACAUCUCUCCUGGGCCCCACACUCACUGAUACUUCCCUGAGUUCACGGGCAAAAUGGAGAUGAUAAUAAUAGGGCCUUCUCUCUGGGGCGAUUAUCUUACAGGAACGAGUUUUCAGAAGCACGUAUCACAGUGCCUGACACAUAGUAGGUGCCCCGUCAAAGCUCGCCAUCAUUUCUGUGGAUGAGUUCACAGCAGCCUCUUAAGAGCGUGGGAGCAGCGUGCGUGAGGCGCUUUGCCGUGUGCCCUGGUCUCGGAGACUCCCCGAACUGAAAGCGUCGAGGGCAAGGCCCCCGUGUUUCAGGUGGGGAACCUGGGGCCCAGGCUUGCAGCAAGCGAGUGGCAGGGCCAGGCCUCGGCCUUGGGGGCUCCCUGCAGCCUCCCUGCUCCAGCCAGGGUGGCAGUUCUCUUCCCAUCUCCUUUUGCCCUGUGUGUCCCCAUCCGUCCAUCCAGGCGUCCCGGCCGUAGGAGGCCAGCUGGACGGCUGACCUGGCAGCCCUUUCUGAGUCCAGCCGCUGACAGGAACUUGCCUGGAUAAAUGCAAAGAGACCCCCCUCUGGAGGCUGCUCUUGCGGUGUCCCCAUCCAAAUGUUAAUUUUGCCAAGGCCUUGAUAAAUCUUCCUGUCGUCCCACCUGCCUGAGACAAAGAUUUCAUCUUAUUGAGAGGUGACAUUCCUGCCCUUUGGGACGAGCUAUCAAUUUAAGGCAGCGCCCAGCGUGGCGCGUGAUGAAGAACCAGGUCCCAGUGAACCCCCUUCUGCGCCCCCACCCCCAUCCUUCCCUUAAGCCCCGCGGGGCCAGCCCCCUUGAGAUAUUUUUACCUGCCCUUCUAGAAGAAGUGCGGGGACCCCACCCCUCUUGCCUGGCUCUCACCGUUUCCCUGCACACUUGCUGACGUCCACCUGUCAGCACCUGAACCUCUUUGCCUGAGGCUUGCUCAGGCCUUUAGAGCCACUUGGCUGCCUGGACGGUGGAUCAGAAUAACAUCCCCAGGGUAGCUCUUAACUACUGGCUCUUGGGCGCUGGAGUAGAAGCACCUUUGUGGGGGUGGAUACUCUGCAGCAUGAGUUCCACGCUGGCUCCCAGAAUUCCCCCACGGAGUUAAGCUCCAGUGGCCCACAGUGGUCAUGGGCUUGAUCCUCAGCCCUCGUUGGCUGUCUCCCUACCCCCCCUCAACUCCCCACCUCCUGCUUCCCAAUCAACACCUUGCCCUUAGUUCCUUUUCUUCAGGUCUCUUUCUGCAGGGCUGGGCCAGGGAUUGAACCUGGGUCCCAGCACUCCAGAAAUGCUGCCAGUCCUUUUGCACCACAGCGGGGACUCCUUACCAAACAUUUUUUAGCAGCGCAAGUUGUAAUGCCCUGGAGUCAGCCAUGGAACACAGCGGAGGUCUGACAUUUCUUGAAUGCCUACUGUGUGACAGGGACUGUGUGUUUCUUGCCUCUGGA
rnacentral:lncRNA from 1 species